CAAGAAUUCAUAAAAGGAGUUUGUCCUACCCCCCUCUGCCUUGGGAUCUCAAGGUCCCUGUUUUCCUACUCCUGUCAAUCGCCGGACACGGCACCACACCUACCCCCCACCAAGGUUUGUUGUGAGUGUUUCCAAUGAGGUCCAGAAGGAGGCACCUGGGUCAUAGAGAUUAAUGAUGAUAAGUUUUAUAUUAUGAAGGGUUCCCAUCACCAUUACAUAUCGC